AAAAAGUUCCUCAAUUCAAUGUAGUUUGGGGUGAGGUCCGGCCAUUUGGCCGUCGACCUUCCCUUUGCCUCCAUUUCGUUAGAUCAUUGUUUUGUAAGUUUUUUAUCUAGUUUUCGUUGUCCUAGUUUCCUUUAGUCUCCCUUUGGAGUCUCAGUGUCUCUCUAAUAGAUGGAAUUUUUGUGUGUUUGUUUUGAGAUGCAU
rnacentral:misc_RNA from 1 species